rnacentral:rRNA from 1 species
CAGCCGCCGCGGUAAUACGAAGGGUGCAAGCGUUAAUCGGAAUUACUGGGCGUAAAACGCGCGUAGGUGGUUCAUUAAGUUGGAUGUGAAAGCCCUGGGCUCAACCUGGGAACUGCAUCCAAAACUGGUGAGCUAGAGUACGGUAGAGGGUAGUGGAAUUUCCUGUGUAGCGGUGAAAUGCGUAGAUAUAGGAAGGAACACCAGUGGCGAAGGCGACUACCUGGACUGAUACUGACACUGAGGUGCGAAAGCGUGGGGAGCAAACAGGAUUAGAUACCCGGUAGUCCCUGUCUCUUAUACA